CGGUGUUUAACUGGCGUGAUGUGGGACGUCCUACCGGUGGGCUUAGCCUCGCGAGGGGCGGCCCAACUAAUAUCCCGUCGCGGUGCUCUUUACUGAGUGUCGAGUCGGGCCGGUACGUUUACUUUGAACAAAUUAGAGUGCUUAAAGCAGGCUAUCCUCGCCUGAAUACUGCGUGCAUGGAAUAAUGGAAUAGGGCCUCGGUUCUAUUUUGUUGGUUUUCGGAACCCCGAGGUAAUGAUUAAUAGGGACAGAUGGGGGCAUUCGUAUUGCGACGUUAGAGGUGAAAUUCUUGGAUCGUCGCAAGACGGACAGAAGCGAAAGCAUUUGCCAAAAAUGUUUUCAUUAAUCAAGAACGAAAGUUAGAGGUUCGAAGGCGAUCAGAUACCGCCCUAGUUCUAACCAUAAACGAUGCCAGCUAGCGAUCCGCCGAAGUUCCUCCGAUGACUCGGCGGGCAGCUUCCGGGAAACCAAAGCUUUUGGGUUCCGGGGGAAGUAUGGUUGCAAAGCUGAAACUUAAAGGAAUUGACGGAAGGGCACCACCAGGAGUGGAGCCUGCGGCUUAAUUUGACUCAACACGGGAAACCUCACCAGGCCCAGACACCGGAAGGAUUGACAGAUUGAUAGCUCUUUCUUGAUUCGGUGGGUGGUGGUGCAUGGCCGUUUUUAGUUGGUGGAGCGAUUUGUCUGGUUAAUUCCGAUAACGAACGAGACUCUAGCCUGCUAAAUAGGCGUACCUUAUGGUAUCGCGAAGGCCCCCGGCUUCGGCCGGUGGGUUUUUACUACCAACGUACAAACAAAUCUUCUUAGAGGGACAGGCGG
rnacentral:rRNA from 1 species